rnacentral:ncRNA from 1 species
CUGGCAACUAUGACGGCCCGCCUGCAAACCAGCCUUGCUGGUGGGGCGGGCCUGAGAACCUGGCGUG